rnacentral:misc_RNA from 1 species
GAAUAUUUGUCUCCAAAGGAGUAUAUCAAAGAUCCCACUGGAAUUGACAGCUUGUAUUUGUUAGAGUCUCAAAUACAAAGCGUUGUAGCUCUUGUCCUAUGUGUUACAUCCAGCAUUUUGGUGAUUAUUCAACUUACAUCUACAUCGAAAAACCUCCUGUUUUUUGUCAUCAUCCUCCUCCCAGUUGCAGCCACGCUUGAAGGUGUUCUGAUUCUUGAAAUGAUUUUGGCUAACAUAAGGUUUAUUUCACUUAUGCCACUGGUGGAGAAAUUAAGAUGGUAUUUUCCGUACUCAAUUCUACUGAGUGGACUGGGUACGUUAUUCGCCAUUGUUAGCUGGGUGGUGGCAUUUGUAGUGCACCACGUGCAGUCACGUAAGCAGGACUGUCAGACUCCUUACCUACGAAUGGAAGAGACGAGGGAUUGUCCUAUUACUGAACAAUCAAGUGAAAAAGAAUGACAAUACAUACAAUCUAAUAUUUUUUGAUGAUCAAAUUCUGUUGAUAUAUUAAGAUGUCGUAAUAUUCUCAUCAGUUUUGGCGAUUUUUUCUUCUUACAUAUUCUUGCUGCUAAGAUAAAUAAAUUUUCAAUUAUU